rnacentral:rRNA from 1 species
GACGAACGCUGGCGGCGUGCUUAACACAUGCAAGUCGAACGGAAAGGCCCUGCUUUUGUGGGGUGCUCGAGUGGCGAACGGAUGAGUAACACGUGAGUAACCUGCCCUUGACUUUGGGAUAACUUCAGGAAACUGGGGCUAAUACCGGAUAGGAGCUCCUGCUGCAUGGUGGGGGUUGGAAAGUUUCGGCGGUUGGGGAUGGACUCGCGGCUUAUCAGGUUGUUGGUGGGGUAGUGGCUUACCAAGGCUUUGACGGGUAGCCGGCCUGAGAGGGUGACCGGCCACAUUGGGACUGAGAUACGGCCCAGACUCCUACGGGAGGCAGCAGUGGGGAAUAUUGCACAAUGGGCGGAAGCCUGAUGCAGCAACGCCGCGUGCGGGAUGACGGCCUUCGGGUUGUAAACCGCUUUCGCCUGUGACGAAGCGUGAGUGACGGUAAUGGGUAAAGAAGCACCGGCUAACUACGUG